UCUAAGAAGAGUUUACCAGAAACUUCGAACCGGAAGUUUGUGCGCAAACAACAUUAAGAGAGUAAGAAAGUUUUUCCUUGAUGCAAUUCCGAUGGCAGGAACUAGCGAUUCACUAAGCAUGCUAGCUGAACUGAUCAACGAUGAAGAAAUCACGGGAGUAGAAGCCGACAUGUGGCUUACAACCUUAUCUUUCAUCCAACACCCGACAAAAGACAUGCUUAGAGAAGUUUUGCCUCUUCUUUCCAACAACAACGGAAAAGCAAUGCUCGCUGUUGGAUCUCUGGUUCAUAACUUCUGUCGUAAAAGGCCAUGUGAUGACGAUAUGGAUGUCAGC